rnacentral:rRNA from 1 species
GCUCAAGCUUAAAAUCUCCGUGCAAUUUUUGCGCGGUUAAUUGUAGUCUAUAGAACCGUGGUCAGUAUGGGCACUUGGGUUAAGUUCCUUGGAACAGGACAGCAGGGAAGGUGAUACUCCCGUUCCUCCCCAAGUUGCUUGUGCGUACGACCCGUUUUCUUUGAGUCGCGUUGUUUGACAAUGCUACGCGAAGUAGGUGGUAAAUUCCAUCUAAAGCUAAGUAUUGAUGCCAAACCGAUACCAUACAAGUGCCGUGAGGAAAAAAUGAAAAUAGCUUUGAAAAUAAAAUUAAAGAUGACCUUGAUCUGCUGAAAGGUAACGAAAUCAUUUCUGCUGUCUAUGAUCCGUGGGACUUUUCACUGGCCAGUGUAUGCCUGCGUGUGCUGUUGCAGUGUUCUUUUUGGCGGCGCUCGGCGUGUGUGUUGUGUGUGCUUGCAGGUGCCCUGUGCUGUGGGUGGGACGUAAGGUCAGGCUCGUAUGCUGCGGGAAAUGGCCACUGAGGACGUAGGGCUUACUCUUGCGUUUGUCUGCUAUAUACUAGUGGAAGAGUAGUCGCGGUUGGGACUGAGGUGCCAACAACGUGCUUUUGAGUGGAUUUGGGUCUCCGUGUGCGCCGUGUGCGGAUAGCUUGCUAUGCGUGUGUGGCUGUGUAUGGAUUGAUGCGAGUCGUAACUUGUAGCCGUUCGGGACGUUG